rnacentral:misc_RNA from 1 species
GAUGAAGAACGCAGUGAAAUGCGAUAAGUAAUGUGAAUUGCAGAAUUCAGUGAAUCAUCGAAUCUUUGAACGCACCUUGCGCCCUUUGGCUAUUCUGAAGGGCAUGCCUGUUUGAGUAUCGUGAACACCUCAACUCUCAUGGUCUGCCAUGAUGAGCUUGGACUUUGGGGGUCUUGCUGGCCUACUGUCAGCUCCUCUCAAAUGAAUCAGCUUACCAGUGUUUGGUGGCACCACAGGUGUGAUAACUAUCUACGCUUGUGGUUUUCUGCCAGGUAACCUCCAGUGAUGGAGGUUCGCUGGAGCUCACAAAUGUCUCUCCUCAGCGAGGACAGCUUUUUGAACGUUUGAUCUCAAAUCAGGUAGGACUACCCGCUGAACUUAAGCAUAUCAAUAAGCGGACGA